CAGUAGCCGCGGGAAUACAGAGGGUGCGAGCGUUAAUCGGAUUUACUGGGCGUAAAGCGUGCGUAGGUGGUGGUUUAAGUCCGUUGUGAAAGCCCUGGGCUCAACCUGGGAAUUGCAGUGGAUACUGGGUCACUAGAGUGUGGUAGAGGAUAGUGGAAUUUCCGGUGUAGCAGUGAAAUGCGUAGAGAUCGGAGGGAACAUCUGUGGCGAAGGCGACUAUCUGGGCCAACACUGACACUGAGGCACGAAAGCGUGGGGAGCAAACAGGAUUAGAUACCCGGGUAGUCCCUGUCUCUUAUAC
rnacentral:rRNA from 1 species